CCCGGUUUGACGGUGUCAGGAGCGUCGGCUAGUGUUGACGAUGCGCUUCAGUACUGAGAGCCAGCGUUCGCGUCUGUAUCCUCUAAAGUCCUCGUACUGAGAUGGACACCAACGUGCUACAGAGUAUCCAGGACUUCAUACCAAUCAACGUUAUAGCUGUGCUAAAUGCUUCUCAGCUCCAGCUCAACGCACGCAGCGUACACGGGAGUGGUGGAUGUCCUCAUUCUGAUCUCCGGCAGACAAAGAAACAAGAUUUUCCCUCCAAAUCCUGCAGAAUUUUGUGAAAAUGACAGAAGUGCUUGUGCCCGGCUGAAAUGUGACACCCUGCCUGCUCAAUGCCAGUUGCAAGUGCCCGUCCGGAGGUCGUGAUUUCAUGUAAGAUUUCUUUAAUGGUUUCCAU